UCAUUUUGUUUGUGACCUGUGAGGAUGAUACUUGGUUUGUGGACCUAUGACCUGUGAUGACUAGCCUGAGGCCAGCGUAUCUCCCCUUGGUUGGAGUGUAUAAGUCAAAACUUAAAAGUUAUUUUUUACUCUUAGGGUUUUAACCUGGUCAUCUCAUGCCAGAUAGAAGCUCUGAUUGGCAGCUUUAGGUUUCUUGAUUAAAAACCUAAAUAAACGCCGAGUGUGAUGGCACAUACCUGUAAUCCCAGUGGCUCAGGAGGCUGAGGCAGG
rnacentral:lncRNA from 1 species